UAACCUUGUCUUAGAGAAUAUUAGACCUUCUGAAACUACAAAGGACACAAAAGAUAUCCAUUUUGAGAGAAACAUAAUUGUUAGUGAAGAGGACUUGUUGUUACCAAAAAAUUUAAAUGCCGAACAACUUAUAUCGUACAAUACAAUUAUUGAUAGAAUAUCUUCUAAGAAGGCAGGAGCUUUUUUCGUUGAUGGUCCCGGAGGAACAGGUAAAACUUACUUAUAUCGGGCAUUAUUAGCAACUGUUCGAUCUCAAGGAUUUAUAGCUUUAGCAACUGCAACUUCAGGAGUAGCAGCUUCUGUUCUUCCUGGAGGACGAACUGCUCACUCGCGUUUUAAAAUGCCUAUUGACAUAGAUGAUAAUUUUUGUUGUAAUAUUAGUAAACAAAGUCCACUUGCUUGUUUAAUUAAAGAUGCAAAAUUAAUUGUAUGGGAUGAAGCAUCUAUGGCAAAAAAAAACAUGAUUGAAGCUCUUGAUGUACUUUUGAGAGAUAUAAUGGAUGUCAAGACACUUUUUGGUGGUAAAGUUAUUGUAUUUGGAGGUGACUUUAGACAGACUCUUCCAGUAGUGUGAAACGGGAAAAAAGAAGAUUUUAUUCAUCAAAGCUUAUUAUACUCCAACAUUUGGAAUGAUCUUGAGAAAUUACAUCUAUCUGAAAAUAUGCGUGCAAGAAUAGAUCCAUCUUUUUGUGAAUAUCUACUUAGAAUUGGAAAUGGAAAAGAAACAACUCAGUGUGAAAACAAAAUUGAGAUUCCUAAUUCUCUUAUUAUUCCUUUUACAACUGAAGAACAAUCCUUAGAUACCUUAUUUAACGUAACAUAUCCUGAUUUAUGUACAUUUUCUUCUAAUUCAUCUGCAAUAUCUUCUCGUGUUAUUUUAACAACAAAAAAUGAUUUUGUAAAUGAAAUAAAUGAUAUGCUAAUCAGAAAAUUUCCAGAAAGAGCUACAACAUAUGUCGCAACAGAUGAAACUGUUGAACCAAAUGAUCAAAGCCAAUUUGAAGACUUUUUACAUACUUUACACCCUCCUGGCUUACCUCCUUAUAAGUUAACUUUAAAAGAGAACUGCCCAGUUAUGUUGUUACGAAAUUUGAAUCCUUCCGAAGGUUUAUGUAAUGGCACACGAUUAACAUGUUGCGACCUUAAAACGCAUGUCAUAAGUGCUAAAAUUGAAAGUGGUGACUUCAAAAAUACACAUGUAUUUAUUCCAAGAAUUCCAUUGCUGACAUCACAAGAUGAGAAAAUACCUGUACAAUUUAAAAGGACACAGUUUCCUCUGCGAUUGUGUUUUGCUAUGACUAUAAAUAAAGCUCAAGGUCAAACGUUAGAUUUUGUUGGAAUUUACCUACGAGAACCUGUUUUUUCACAUGGUCAAUUAUAUGUGGCUUUAUCAAGAGCAAAAAGUUCAAAAUCUGUCAAAAUACUAAUUCGUCCCCCUACUGCAGACAGUAGUGAUGAUCAUUCAACAUAUAAUAUAGUGUAUGAUGAAAUUAUUCAGAGAGCCUUCUCAUAGGUAAGGUAACAAUUGACUUUGAUAUAGUUAAUUUCAUCAAACUUUCCAUUGUAAUUUUUUGUUGCUAUAAAAAAAUGAUGAUUCACUGAAGCAUGCCAGCCUGCAGUUCUUGAAUAGUUACUUGUCGAGAAUUUUGUUGUGCAAAUUCAUAUCCUAUUUCUUGUUAUGAAAUGUUAUUAAUUGGCUUGGCCAUCUGAAUAGGUCAAGUUUAACAUGUUCUGCUCUAGGCCUCAUUCACUGGCACCACCACCUGAUUCACCAUCCAGAAUUGAAGAAUUGUAAGCUGGAGAACCUUUGUCAACUUCAACGUGUCUCUAAAACUUGUUUCUCUGAUUCAUUUUAAUUUAAAAGUUAUGUUGUCUAUUUGUUCUUGCUUCAUUUCCUUUUUCCUCCUAUUUUCCCUUUGCCAAACUACUUCAGUUGAUGUAGUGGUUUGUCCAUCUGAUUUCGCAGGUUAUUUCACCAACAGAACAAAUUCCAGAAAUGACUUCUAACUACUCAAGACAAAGGAUGAACCUGAAGCUUUUCUGAAAACUGUUAAUCUACACAAUAAUUGCGGAGGCCGAUAGUUCAAGAAAUUCGGAUCCUCGACAGGCCUUCCAAUUUCUUGGUUCACACGUCCAUAUAGCAAGAAAUACCUUACAAACAUCAAUAUUUUACUUCCUGCCAUUAUUUGAUAAUGGCAACUCAUUACCAAAUUGAUACAUUUGUAUCUUACAGGCAAAACACUUCUACAGCUAAAACAAUUGAAGUUGAGACGACGUCAAGCCAGAGGUACCUUUGUUUUGUCUACUCUACAGUCAUACUGCACUGCCAAGGCAAUUGAAGAAAGAGGGUACAUUUUCCAUUUGAGAAAUCUAACCACUUCUCCACAUAUUGUAUACUGCCAACAUAUCAAUAGAGAAAUUCAUCGUCAAAAAAGAACAAUUUUGACUCAAGGAUAUGUCGCUGAGACAUUUGGAACUCAUUUUCAACUUCCUCAUCUGGAACCAAUAGGUGCUUUAGACAAUGCAAAACUACUUGCUAUUUAUACGGCUGAUAAUUUUAGUUCUCCUGAAGAUCAUUGUCAGCCAUCAUCUGCCCCUCAUCUGAUCCAACUGUCAUACAUAUUUGCGCCACAGAUGAUCGUGUUGGGCCCGGGCAACGCCCGGCCUGCCUUUACUAUGGAUGGUCAAUGGCGGUAAACUGGUGAGGAGUUGAUAUAGCUACCUUAAAUUGCAGCUUGCAUGAAGAACUCUGCCUCCUGUUGGUAUUUUGGUGUCAAAGAGUGUUAUACUCAUUUGAGAAAAAGCAGUUUUCAGGCAAGUGACACAAUCUACAGCUGACAAAUCCGGUAGACACUGCACCAUGCCAUAUAUUAUUUGAAAAUCGUUAAUUUCAUCAGAAUUGUCAGCAUAUUUCAGAUUGAGACUGACGGAUCCUAGAAACCGAGGUGUCUAACAUGGACGCGAAAGAUACAUUACAAGAGCGGACCAAACACUCAUCAAACCAUACAAUUGCCUGUUUCUUGAGCGGACAUUCAAGUUGAAUCCGCUCUCUUGCCACGUCUAUGCAGUUUUUGCAGUCUUUAGGUACAGCGUCUCCUCUACAGAGGAAUAGUCCAUAAACUUUGUCAGGGUCUUCUCCUUCACUGGCUUUUGUAUAGAUUAUUGUAUAGUGAUGUGUACAGCAAUCGGUUAAGAUUUGAUUGGAAUUUGCUUCCUUCUGUAUAGUUAUUGGACAUUGAACAAUCGUAAUAUAAGGGCUUCACCUGCAUCUGUGCUUUGACACCCACAAGCAGUACUGAAUGGAGCAACAAAAUGAGAAUUAAUGUUUGGGUACUUCACAAACACAAAACUAGAACCGACGCCAUUCUUGACUAAAGUAAGUUGCUGUUGAAUUAUGUCUAAAGAAAUCAAAAUGAUAGGAUGAGAAGAAGAUGAAUCUGUUCGAAAACUACAAGUUUGAUUUUUCAUGAAAAUAAUUUUCCCAAAACAUUUUCGUUCCCUCCUUCCUACCAAUAGUCAUUUGUCAAUGACAAAUUAAUUACAAGGAAUAAUUGGUCUAGACUGAAAGUGACAGCACUGGGGAAGAAGUUAUUUUAAGUACGUUAAAUGUAAAUCAAUAACUUGUAGAAUUUGUACUUUAUUUCUUCCUCAAAUAUAUGCUUUUAUAUAAAAUAUUUUUUACCUUUAAUGU